GGGCAUGGCGCAGCUACACAUGCAGUCGAACGGUAGCACAGAGAGCUUGCUCUCGGGUGACGAGUGGCGGACGGGUGAGUAAUGUCUGGGAAACUGCCUGAUGGAGGGGGAUAACUACUGGAAACGGUAGCUAAUACCGCAUAACGUCGCAAGACCAAAGAGGGGGACCUUCGGGCCUCUUGCCAUCAGAUGUGCCCAGAUGGGAUUAGCUAGUAGGUGGGGUAACGGCUCACCUAGGCGACGAUCCCUAGCUGGUCUGAGAGGAUGACCAGCCACACUGGAACUGAGACACGGUCCAGACUCCUACGGGAGGCAGCAGUGGGGAAUAUUGCACAAUGGGCGCAAGCCUGAUGCAGCCAUGCCGCGUGUAUGAAGAAGGCCUUCGGGUUGUAAAGUACUUUCAGCGGGGAGGAAGGUGUUGUGGUUAAUAACCGCAGCAAUUGACGUUACCCGCAGAAGAAGCACCGGCUAACUCCGUGCCAGCAGCCGCGGUAAUACGGAGGGUGCAAGCGUUAAUCGGAAUUACUGGGCGUAAAGCGCACGCAGGCGGUCUGUCAAGUCGGAUGUGAAAUCCCCGGGCUCAACCUGGGAACUGCAUUCGAAACUGGCAGGCUGGAGUCUUGUAGAGGGGGGUAGAAUUCCAGGUGUAGCGGUGAAAUGCGUAGAGAUCUGGAGGAAUACCGGUGGCGAAGGCGGCCCC
rnacentral:rRNA from 1 species